rnacentral:tRNA from 1 species
GGGCUGUUAGCUCAGUGGAAGAGUGCACCCCUGAUAAGGGUGAGGUCCCCGGUUCAAUACCAGGACGGCCCA